CCUACGGGUGGCUGCAGUGGGGAAUAUUGGACAAUGGGCGAAAGCCUGAUCCAGCCAUGCCGCGUGUGUGAAGAAGGCCUUCGGGUUGUAAAGCACUUUCAGUGGGGAAGAAAGCCUUGGGGCUAAUACCCUCGAGGAAGGACAUCACCCACAGAAGAAGCACCGGCUAACUCCGUGCCAGCAGCCGCGGUAAUACGGCGGGUGCGAGCGUUAAUCGGAAUUACUGGGCGUAAAGCGCGCGUAGGCGGUCUGAUAAGCCGGUUGUGAAAGCCCCGGGCUCAACCUGGGAACGGCAUCCGGAACUGUCAGGCUAGAGUGCAGGAGAGGAAGGUAGAAUUCCCGGGGUAGCGGUGAAAUGCGUAGAGAUCGGGAGGAAUACCAGUGGCGAAGGCGGCCUUCUGGACUGACACUGACGCUGAGGUGCGAAAGCGUGGGUAGCAAACAGGAUUAGAUACCCUUGUAGUC
rnacentral:rRNA from 1 species